GACGAACGCUGGCGGCGUGCUUAACACAUGCAAGUCGAACGGAAAGGCCCUGCUUUUGUGGCGUGCUCGUGUGGCGAACGGGUGAGUAACACGUGUGUAACCUGCCCUUGUCUUUGGGAUAACUUCAGGAAACUGGGGCUAAUACCGGAUAGGAGCUCCUGCUGCAUGGUGGGGGUAGGAAAGUUUCGGCGGUUGGGGCUGGACUCGCGGCUUAUCGGCUUGUUGGUGUGGUAGUGACUUACCAAGGCUUAGACGGGUAGCCGGCCUGAGAGGGUGACCGGCCACAUGGGGACUGAGGGACGGCCCAGACGCCUACGUGAGGCAGCAGUGGGAAAUAUUGCACAGUGGGCGGAAGCCAGAUGCGGCAACGCCGCGAGCGGAAAGACGGCCUUCGGGUUAUAAACCGCUGUCGCCGGUGACGAAGCGUGAGUGACGGUAAUGAGUAAAGAAGCACCGGCUAACUACGUG
rnacentral:rRNA from 1 species